rnacentral:rRNA from 1 species
GCUCAGGAUGAACGCUGGCGGCGUGCUUAACACAUGCAAGUCGAGCGAAGCGGUUUUGAUGAAGUUUUCGGACGGAUUUGAAAUUGACUUAGCGGCGGACGGGUGAGUAACGCGUGGGUAACCUGCCUUACACUGGGGGAUAACAGUUAGAAAUGACUGCUAAUACCGCAUAAGCGCACAGGGCCGCAUGGUCUGGUGUGAAAAACUCCGGUGGUGUAAGAUGGACCCGCGUCUGAUUAGGUAGUUGGUGGGGUAACGGCCCACCAAGCCGACGAUCAGUAGCCGACCUGAGAGGGUGACCGGCCACAUUGGGACUGAGACACGGCCCAAACUCCUACGGGAGGCAGCAGUA